rnacentral:misc_RNA from 1 species
UGGUGAUGUGGCUCGGCACCCUCCCCUUUGUCUUUGUUUGCUCCGUUUCCUCGCUUUCUGCUCCGUAGGGCGCUCGAAGACGUGGCGCGCACGCAGCUCGGCACGAGUCAUGUCCGCCGAUAAAAAGGCGAAGGCCAAGCAAGCCAUCCAGGAUGCGAAGGCAGCAGUGUCCGAGAAGCUAAGGGGUCAGGUGCCCAUUUUAACCCUCCUGCGGUAUCGCGCUUCCAGCGAGUGGUUUGCCGUCGUUGUCGGGAGCAUUGCCGCCUUCUGCGCGGGCGGCUCCACGCCGCUUUUCAUGUACUUUUUCGGACGGAUGACGAACAGCGCGUACGACGACGAAGCCGCGCCGGAGGUGACGCGCAGCUUUGCGAUGUUGAUGGUGUGCAUCGGCAUUCUUUCCAUGGUGCUUGUCUUCAUUAAGACUGCCACGUACCAAGUGACCGCGACGCGCCUGGUCGGCCGCAUCAAGUGCGCCUACUUCUCCGCUGUCGUCAACCAGGACAUCGGCUGGCAUGACAAGCGCAAGCCCGGCGAGCUCAUUUCUCGCCUGACUGGAGACACGCGUGUCAUCCUCAACGGCGUUAACGACCGCUUUGCCAGCUGGAUCGAGAACCUCGGCACCGGCCUCAUCGGCAUCGUUUUUGCGUUCAUCGCGAGCUGGGAGCUGACGCUCCUCAUCAUGGGUUCACUCCCGCUCAUCGCGGUGGCGGUGUACUUUCUCACCGCCGCGUCCUCCCGCCACGUUGCUGUGACGCGCAAGCAGUAUGCGGUGGCGAGCGCCAUUGCGCAGGAAGUCAUGCAGAACAUCAAGACAGUGCAGAGCUUCAACCGCGAGAUGCACGAGGCGGAGCGCUUCUCAGAAACGAUAGUGGGCUCGCGCAAGGCCGGCAUCAAGAAGGAGUUUCUUGUGGCGAUGGCCGGCGGCUCCGUGAUGGGCAUCAUGCUCUGCGUCAUUGGGCUCGCCUUCAUCCUUGCUGCGUACCUUGUCCACAGCGGCCGCACCGACGUUGGCUCCGUCUCGGCGGCCUUUCUGACUGUGAUGUACGGCGCCAUGGGUCUCGGGCAGGUGUUCCCAGCCCUCAUCUCCUUUGUGGAGGCGCGCACAGCAGCGUACCCAAUCUUUGCGACUAUCGAUGAGCAACCGACGAUUGACCUGCACGGGCCUGGCAGGGAGGCGACGUUUUGCCGGUGCAUUGAGGUGAAGGAUGUCACCUUCGCCUACCCGACGCGUCCAGACCAGCUCAUCUUUAGCGGCUUGAGCGCCACGAUUAGGAAGGGCGAGAAGGUUGCCUUCUCUGGUUCGACAGGAUGCGGCAAGUCAACGAUCAUCAGCCUCAUCCAGCGCUUCUACGACCCCAUGGAGGGUGCCGUCACCGUGGAUGGGCAGGAUCUCCGCGACUUGGACCUCAGGUCGUGGCGCAAGCGCAUCGGCAUCGUGUCGCAAGAGCCCAACUUGUUCUCCGGCUCCGUUCUCGACAACGUCCGCAUGGGGCGGCGCAGCGCCACCCUUGAGGAGGUUGUGACGGCAUGUAAGCAGGCCCGCAUUCACGACACGAUACUGGCCCUGCCACGCGGCUACGACACCAGCGUUGGUUCUCUGGGCAGCCAGCUGAGCGGUGGGCAAAAGCAGCGUCUCGCCAUCGCCCGGGCCGUCGUGCGCGGUGCCGACAUCCUGCUCCUGGACGAGGCGACCAGCGCGCUGGACCGAAAGUCCGAGGUGGAGGUGCAGCGCGCCAUAGACGAUCUUACGGAGCAUAGCAAAAUGACGGUGAUCACGAUUGCGCAUCGAAUGGCUACCAUCUCGAACAUGGACUGCAUCUACUUCCUCGAUGGCUCGCGCGACGGCGGCAGCUGCAUUGUUGAGUGCGGUACCUAUGACGAGCUCAUCCGCAUGAACGGCCGCUUUGCCUCGAUGGUCAUGAUGCAGAACCCUUCCACGGGAAACUUGCGUACUGUGGUACACGACACGAGCUUCUACCUCUACCCAGGAGCCCUCGACAAAAUUACAGGCGGCAGCGUCUCAACCGAAGACAGUUACAGCAGCAACGACUCCUGGGACUCCAACUGCAACGGCUUCUACGAGGAUGACGACCGGUGGAGCCAGUAUUCCCACGUCGACGACGUCCCCUUCAUCCACCGCACCGAUUGGGAGGAGCGAAAGACGAGCGUGUCGAUGUGGCGCAUUAUGAAAAUGACGAAGAGUCGCUGGUGGGCGAUUGCGCUGGGGUUUCUGGGCUCCAUCAUCACAGCUAUCGUCUUCCCUUGUGUCAGUCUCAUGAUUACCCAGCUCAUCAACACUCUCGGCACCUACCGCCUGUCGCAAGACACAACGCACAUGCAGCGACAGAUAGCCUUGUACGUGAUUCUGCUGAUUCUUUUGGGCGCUGUCUACUUCCUCGGGAGUGUGCUUACGGGCUUCUACGGCUACGUCGGUGAGUACCUGACCUGUGAGCUGCGCACGAUCCUGUUCCAGCAGAUUCUUCGACAGGACCAAACCUUCUUUGACAUGCCUCGCCGCGACCCUGGUGCGUUGGCGGCCCUUCUCUCUGGCGACUGUGAGUCGGUGCACCAGCUUUACGGCCCUACCCUCGGCUCCCGCCUCCGGUCUGUCUGCGCGUUCGCCGGCGGUAUUGCCAUCGGCCUCACAAUGGAGUGGAAGGUGGCGCUCGUGUGCCUGGCCACUAUGCCGCUCUUUGUUGGCAGCAUCAUCGCGCAGCAAGUUUUCUUUGCCGACUCUCAAAGUGUUCGCGAGAGUGGCAUCGACACGGUGGUGAGCGAAGCCCUCGGCUCGAUCCGCACUGUCACCUCCUUCAACAUGCAGGAUCGAAUGAUCAAGGAGUACAAGCGCAUCAUCAACGUCGCGGAGCAGACCGCCGAGCGCCGCGCCGUUCUCGUCAGCAUCCUCGCCGGUGCGACGGAGAUCACACUGAUGGGUUCGAUGGCUCUUUCUUUUUGGUACGGUGGCACCCUCAUUGAGAGGGGCGAGACGCACUUCAGCAACGUGUUGGUCGCUGCCAUGGCCGUCACCAUGGGCUCGACGCUGGCGGGGGCGGAGGCAGGCAGCUUCGCGACAAAGUUGCGCGAUGCGCGGCUGUCGUCGAACCGUGUCUUCUCCGUCAUUGACCGUGUACCGGCGGUAGACAGUUAUGAGUACGGCAAGGUCAAUUUUGAGGAGCAGAUAGGCGUCGAAUUCCACCACGUCGGCUUUACGUACCCAGCGCGGGAGGGGGUGAAGGUGCUCAACGACGUCUCUCUCAAGUUUCAGGCAGGUUCGUCGAACGGCCUCAUGGGACAGACCGGCUGCGGCAAGUCGACCAUUGUGCAGAUUCUGGCCCGCUUCUACCCGAUCUCGACGGGCAAGGUGCUCAUCAACGGUGAAGAUCUCAGCUCCCUCGACCUCGUCACGUGGCGCGACCAGCUCAGCAUUGUAUUACAGGAGCCCUCGCUGUUCAGCGGCACCAUUCGUGACAACAUCAAGUACUCUCUGCCGGACGCCACAGAGGAGGAGGUCAUUGAGGCGGCAAAGAUUGCCUGCAUCCACGACGACAUCAUGAACAUGGAGAAGGGCUACGACACGGAGGUGGGCUACCGGGGCCAGCAGCUCAGCGGCGGGCAGAAGCAGCGCGUGGCCAUCGCCAGAGGCGUUCUUCGCUGCCCGAAGCUGUUGCUGCUCGAUGAGGCUACCAGCGCCCUCGAUAACAUAACAGAGGUGCGGGUGCAGCGCAACCUGGACGAGUUCCAGCGGCGGUUCGGCGUCACCACGGUCGCCAUCGCCCAUCGCUUGGCGACCAUCCGCCACAGUAACCAGAUUGUGCUGUUGGACAGUGGCAAGAUCAUCGAGCAGGGCACACACGAACAACUCCUGGCGCAGGACGGUGAGUACAAAUCUCGAUGGGAGCUAGCCCACACGUGAAGAAAGCGGUGCAGGCUGUGCCCUUCUGAAGGCCAGCGCCGUCACUCUCCUAUUGCUCUUUACCGGGACAGUCUGAUGCCUCUGCUCGCAUCGUUUUGCCUUCUGCCCCCCUCGUGCUCUGUAUUGCAGUCCACUGAAUGUAGAUGAUGUGCGUUUGCGGGUGUCACUCUCUGUCUCCCGCUGUCGUCUCUUGAGCUGCUUUCUCUGGGACCGUUUUGUUUCUUACCGCUGACAUUCGUGUCAUUGUGUCUCUGUGUUCCUCACUCCAGGGGGGGGUCGUUGUCUCUGAGAGCAGGGGGGGAGGGGUGUUUGUGCGGAGAAGACGGCAAUGGGUAGGACCACCCACGCCCUUUUUGCUUUGUGUUUCUGCCGUGUCCUCGUUCCCGCGUCUUUCUCUUUCUGUUUCCUUUUUGUGUCGAGAUGGCUGUCAUGCGUGCUAGCUCCUCAGAGCCCCCCUCCCUCCCCUUUACCGCUCUCUCUUGACGUCACCUCUGCGUUGUCUGUUUUCGUUGUCUUGUGUGUCUGCAUUCGCCAUUGCCUCCUCGCAUUGUGAGGCGCGUCGGCUGCUUUGUAGCUGGUGGGUCUGUGGCUCCUGCGUUGAUUCAUCUGUCCCCCCCUGCCGUGACUGCUCUGUUGUGGGCACAGACCGUCCAAUUCUUUUUUCUGUUCUCCGUUGCACUCGUUUUCCGGGUUCCCUUUGGAUGUGCACACACGACGGCGGUACCAUCUCUCUCUUCUGGUCCUCGCUGUGGUCGACUGACCCCUUUUGUAGUGUUUAUUUUUGCCCUGUGCUUUUUGUUUGUCUACAGCAUCCCCAAUAACUGAUCCGUUUUCGGUUAUACAUGUAUCGUCUAUGAGAGCUGCGCCGGCGGCCUUCACGACGGACACAAACACAGCAGCGACAGAAUGGAUGCAGAAAGAUCCGGCUUUCCACUAACACGUAGUGUACACAGACACACACACACACACACACACACACAUGCAUACACACGCAUAGACUUGCUUUGAAACUUCGCGCGAUGGCCAUUUACGUUUACUUCUCCACCUGCGUGCGCCACCCCUCGCCUCACCGCCGCGAUGCACCGUGUCUGUAGGUAUGUAUAUCGUUCACCGAGUAACGUUUCGGUCACAGGCGCCGGCAUGGAGGAGGAGGAGUUAUUUUCUAUCUGUUACACACCAGCUCGUGUCGUGCGUCCGUGUAGGCUACGAGGUCUUGUGGAAUCAGAAGUAUGUACUCAUAAUCGCCUGCACAAGCAUCUGUGUAUCUGCGUCUGCCUCUGUGUAUGUGUCUCUUUGGAUAUUGGGGGGGGGAGGGUAUGCUUGUUCUCGCACCUCGCCACAGGCCCGCAUGAAAACAACGCGCAUGCCAUCCUUCGUCUCCUUCCAGCGCCAUCAUGCUCUCUCCCAGCCCUUUCUCAUGAUAGAAACAAGCGCGAACCAAACAGGCUGUGAUGUAUACUAUUCGUUACACAUGCGUUCUCGACGAACGGAUGAAGGGCGCGCCCUGCUGUCUUUGCAUGCACGUUUUGCAUUUUCGCCAUUCUUUGGUUUCCUUUUUUUUGGUGGUGGUGGUGGUGGGGAGGCAUCUUUCCUUUUCAUGUUUUCUCAUGUUUGCAAAGCCUGAGGGCCACGUCCUGCACCAAAACGUUCGACGAUUCGCAGGCGUAUGUGCACAGUCUCUUGUUUCUCCUAUCAAACAUUUGUUUACAGCUCAUAUUGUCGUUGCGCCUCCUCGUGUUCAUGUCUCCUCUUCUGAUUUUACCACAAACGUAUUGACACAC